UUCUACUUCUGCAGGAGCCAGUUAUGCUAAUCGGCGCAGAAGGCGCCGACUAGGAGCACCCGUCGUUUCGUUCGGACAACUUCCACAACUCCCACGACCCUGUGUCACGACUGACGACCGAUGCCGGAGGGAGGAUCCAUGGGGACCGCGCCUAGGUUCAGGGCGGGUCUGCCUCACAUGGGGCCGAGGCGCCCGACGAGGUUGUCUUCUGGCGAUUCCACGAUGUCGUGCCCGAGCCAGCGGAUCAUCCGCUGUCGAUUUGACUCUGUCGAUUCAGUAAUUGAAUCACGAUUACAAGAGGCCAUUAAUGGCCAUGGAUAUGAGAGGCCGGCGGAUAAUUGCAGGUUCUCUGAUCUCGAUCGAUUGGAUCUCGGUUUCACGGUUGGCUGAUUCUGCUGCAUUGAAAGGCGAGGCACUGCUUUCACCAUAAUGAUUUCUUGCAUGAGAAUAAUACAUGCUUAAACGCAGCAUCUUCCAAUUGUUCAAAGUGCUAAUAGUUACAACCUGAGAUUACUUGCUCGGGUCCUUCUUUCACAAAGUACAGAGAUGACUUCAGAGUAACCAUGUUCUUUUCAGCUUUUCUAUUCUACAUAAACAACUUGAGGACGGUAUGGAUCAGGGUCUUCUGUUUGAAGGUGUUUUCCUUCACAUGUUUCAAUUUUGAAGCCCUAUUUGGGCAUGCCUCACUUUCUGGGAAUGCAAUGCUUUUCUGUUCUAAAUAAACGACAUGAGGACGGUGAGGAUCAAUUCAUAUUUGUCCUGCUUUUGAAGUCCCUCUGUAUUGGGGAAUGCCUUGCUUUCUAGGAAUGCAAAGGUGAAGGUAGACCACUUGUAUUAAGCAAUCACAACAGUAUACAAUCAACAGGAUUCAACUCAACGACACCUGGGGGAUCAGAGCACAAUCAACUUAUAUUUCUACUUUCUAAGCAAGCAGAGUUUGCCAGAAAGUUGCUAACUUUAUUUUGGGAGUGCCUAACAUGAGUAAUACUAAUUAUACGAAGACUCAAGAGGUGCUUUAUUUCUUUCACCAAAAAGGAAUACACCGAUCUAUCCAUGUCGCUGGUUUGAAUCAUAUUUGUAACUUAAGAGAGACCACUUCAAUCACCACGGGAAGGUCACUCCUCUGAAGGCCAAUGAUAAGCCCUGGCUACAAGCACAUAAGUCUGAUUCUAAAUCAUCCUGGUAGGAGAAAAGUUCUAUGCAAGAAGGAAAAAAAUAGGUCCGGUGUCAUCUCAUAACACCAUGCCAGCUCCAGCUCUUCCAUCUGAAGAUAGCGAUCCAUCAGAAUUAAUUUUCACCCAACCCGAAGGGGGGUAGAUCGACAACCAGCCUAACUCUAUAAAAAGUAGGAUAUGUUAUGAUUGUCCGACAGUUGUGUUGUAUAUUGGGAUUAAUUGAAUGUGCUUUGCUUUAUGCUAUUAAUUAGGAUGUAAGUCAUACCAUGUGGCAUCCUGCUAAGAGCAAGGCAUUUUAAUUCAACUGUUCAUUUAUACAG